CGUUGAAACACCGAUUCCCGUACGAUCACCGUAGUUAAGCAACGUCGAGCCUAGUCAGUACUGGGAUGAGUGACUGCUUGGGAAUACCUGAUGCUGUAAG